UAGAGGAAGUAAAAGUCGUAACAAGGUCUCCGUUGGUGAACCAGCGGAGGGAUCAUUACAGAGUUGCAAAACUCCCACAAACCAUCGCGAAUCUUACCCGUACGGUUGCCUCGGCGCUGGCGGUCCGGAAGGCCCUCGGGCCCCCGGAUCCUCGGGUCUCCCGCUCGCGGGAGGCUGCCCGCCGGAGUGCCGAAACCAAACUCUUGAUAUUUUAUGUUUCUCUGAGUAAACUUUUAAAUAAGUCAAAACUUUCAACAACGGAUCUCUUGGUUCUGGCAUCGAUGAAGAACGCAGCGAAAUGCGAUAAGUAAUGUGAAUUGCAGAAUUCAGUGAAUCAUCGAAUCUUUGAACGCACAUUGCGCUCGCCAGUAUUCUGGCGAGCAUGCCUGUUCGAGCGUCAUUUCAACCAUCAAGCUCUGCUUGCGUUGGGGAUCCGCGUCUGACGCGGUCCCUCAAAAACAGUGGCGGGCUCGCUAGUCACACCGAGCGUAGUAACUCUACAUCGCUAUGGUCGUGCGGCGGGUUCUUGCCGUAAAACCCCCAAUUUCUAAGGUUGACCUCGGAUCAGGUAGGAAUACCCGCUGAACUUAAGCAUAUCAU
rnacentral:rRNA from 1 species